rnacentral:lncRNA from 1 species
CGGACGUCUAGUGAUCCCCUGUAGAGAAACCAGUGGCUCCUUGCUGAGGAUUCAUCGGUGCAUCAGCUUCUGCUGGGUCUCUAAGCCGCCGAGGUCAGAAAUUAAAGUUCCACUUGCCGAGACAUCGAGAAGUUCGAGACGUGCACCAGCGAUGCAACUGCCCGGCAGGUAGGCCAGGGGGACAAAGGCGCCAUGGGGAUCCCUGGACGGCCGGGCGCUCCGGGAGAAGCAGGCAUGUCCAUCAUCGGGCCCCGCGGUCCACCCGUAAGUGGCUUUUUGCUCUAUUUUUUGACCGAUGCAGGAUGUGGGCAAGUUAUAGGGAAGGACUUAG